AAUACCAAAUUGGAAUUAUCCAGAAACAGUUGAAUUUCAAACAGUGGCCAAGCGUUGCACUCGGGAUCAGUUUCAUCAAGAAUAUAACAUAAGCUGUUGUUGUUCUCUAUAGUUUUAGGCUAAUUUCUGUGAAAGUUGAUUGCAAAAGUUUCCCAUAGAUCCAAAGUUAUGGUAGAAAAUGUGACUGCCUGACGAAAGUUUGGUGGGCGCAGGUAGCUGUCCUUUGUUUGAGAAGGCUGACUGUUAAUUACUUUCGGAGCGACGGAAAAAAUAAACAAAAACAAUUAAUUACCGACAAGGAAGGCAUACAAUACGAAGCCGGAAUAGGAGAUUAAAUCUCAUUUUUGGCGCUGCUAGACAUAUGUAAAAAAAAAAGGCCUUAAGAGAUAUAUUUAAUAGAAUAAUAUUAAAACACA
rnacentral:lncRNA from 1 species